rnacentral:rRNA from 1 species
GGAGCAAAACUACAAAAAUAACGUCCCAGUUCGGACUGUAGUCUGCAACCCGACUACACGAAGCUGGAAUCGCUAGUAAUCGCGAAUCAGCAUGUCGCGGUGAAUACGUUCCCGGGUCUUGUACACACCGCCCGUCACACCAUGGGAGUCGAUAACGCCCGAAGUCGGUGACCCAACCGCAAGGAGGGAGCCGCCGAAGGCGGGAUUGGUAACUGGGGUGAAGUCGUAACAAGGUACC